AUUGAACGCUGGCGGCAUGCUUUACACAUGCAAGUCGAACGGUAACAGGCCGCAAGGUGCUGGCGAGAGGCGCACGGGGGAGUAAUACAUCGGAACGUGCCCAGUCGUGGGGGGUAACUACUCGGAAGAGUAGCUAAUACCGCAUACGAGCUAUGGAUGAGAGCGGGGGACCGUAAGGCAUCGCGCGAUUGGAGCGGACGAUGUCAGAUUAGGUAGUUGGUGGGGUAAAGGCUCACCAAGCCAACGAUCUGUAUCUGGUCUGAGAGGAUGAGCAGCCACACUGGGACUGAGACACGGCCCAGACUCCUACGGGAGGCAGCAGUGGGGAAUUUUGGACAAUGGGCGCAAGCCUGAUCCAGCAAUGCCGCGUGCAGGAAGAAGGUCUUCGGGUUGUAAACUGCUUUUGUACGGAACGAAACGGCUCUGGUUAAUACCUGGGGCUAAUGACGGUACCGUAAGAAUAAGCACCGGCUAACUACGUG
rnacentral:rRNA from 1 species